rnacentral:ncRNA from 1 species
AUUCAACGCCAGGGGAGCUGGGGUUAACCCGGCUGAGAGGACGAUUGGAAACAUCGUCGACCCUUUGAACCUGACCCAAGUAAUGCUGGCGUAGGGAGUGUUGCAUAUUUAUG